AGAUUGAACGCUGGCGGCAUGCUUUACACAUGCAAGUCGUGCGGCAGCGCGGGGGCAACCCUGGCGGCGAGCGGCGAACGGGUGAGGAAUACAUCGGAACGUACCCCGGAGUGGGGGAUAACCCAGCGAAAGUUGGACUAAUACCGCAUAUGCUCUGAGGAGGAAAGCAGGGGACUUCGCGAAGAGGCCUUGCGCUCUGGGAGCGGCCGAUGUCCGAUUAGCUAGUUGGUGGGGUAAUGGCUCACCAAGGCGACGAUCGGUAGCUGGGUCUGAGAGGAUGAUCAGCCACACUGGGACUGAGACACGGCCCAGACUCCGUACGGGAGGCAGCGAAGGUGGGGUAAUUUUGGACAAGUCGGGGGACCAACCGUGACUCCAGUCCAUCGCGCGUCGGGA
rnacentral:rRNA from 1 species